AUUGAACGCUGGCGGCAGGCCUAACACAUGCAAGUCGAACGAGUGGCGGACGGGUGAGUAAUGUCUGGGAAACUGCCUGAUGGAGGGGGAUAACUACUGGAAACGGUAGCUAAUACCGCAUACCCUCGGAUGUGCCCAGAUGGGAUUAGCUAGUAGGUGGGGUAAAGGCUCACCUAGGCGACGAUCCCUAGCUGGGCUGAGAGGAUGACCGGCGACACUGGGACUGAGAGACGGUCCAGACUCCUACGGGAGGCAGCAGGGGGGAAUAGUGCGCAAUGGGGCAAAGCCUGCGGAAGCCAUGCCGCGUGUAUGAAGAAGGCGUUCGGGGUGUAAAGUACUUUCAGCGGGGAGUCGUUACCCGCAGAAGAAGCACCGGCUAACUCCGUGCCAGCAGCCGCGGUAAUAC
rnacentral:rRNA from 1 species